rnacentral:rRNA from 1 species
CCCUUAGAUGUUCUGGGCUGCACGCGCGCUACACUGAAGCGUUCAACGAGUAUUCACCUUGCCCGGGAGGGUUGGGUAAUCUUUUGAAAACGCUUCGUGAUGGGGAUAGAUUAUUGCAAUUAUUAAUCUUCAACGAGGAAUUCCUAGUAAGCGCGAGUCAUCAGCUCGUGCUGAUUACGUCCCUGCCCUUUGUACACACCGCCCGUCGCUCCUACCGAUUGAGUGGCUUAGUGAGGCCCUCGGAUUGAGCCAAGGCUCCUUCACGGGAGCUCUGGAUUGAGAAGUUGGUCAAACUUGGUCAUUUAGAGGAAGUAAAAGUCGUAACA